GGUAAAGGCUUACCAAGGCGACGAUCUGUAGCGGGUCUGAGAGGAUGAUCCGCCACACUGGAACUGAGACACGGUCCAGACUCCUACGGGAGGCAGCAGUGGGGAAUUUUGGACAAUGGGGGCAACCCUGAUCCAGCCAUGCCGCGUGAGUGAAGAAGGCCUUCGGGUUGUAAAGCUCUUUCGGCCGGGAAGAAAUCGCAUGGGCCAAUACCCUGUGUGGAUGACGGUACCGGAAUAAGAAGCACCGGCUAACUACGUGCCAGCAGCCGCGGUAAUACGUAGGGUGCGAGCGUUAAUCGGAAUUACUGGGCGUAAAGCGUGCGCAGGCGGUUUUGUAAGACAGGCGUGAAAUCCCCGGGCUUAACCUGGGAACUGCGUUUGUGACUGCAAGGCUAGAGUACGGCAGAGGGGGGUGGAAUUCCACGUGUAGCAGUGAAAUGCGUAGAGAUGUGGAGGAACACCAAUGGCGAAGGCAGCCCCCUGGGUCGAUACUGACGCUCAUGCACGAAAGCGUGGGUAGCAAACAGGAUUAGAUACCCUGGUAGUCCACGCCCUAAACUAUGUCAACUAGGUGUUGGGUGGGUAAAACCAUUUAGUACCGUAGCUAACGCGUGAAGUUGACCGCCUGGGGAGUACGGCCGCAAGGUUAAAACUCAAAGGAAUUGACGGGGACCCGCACAAGCGGUGGAUGAUGUGGAUUAAUUCGAUGCAACGCGAAAAACCUUACCUACCCUUGACAUGCCAGGAACUUGCCAGAGAUGGCUUGGUGCCCGAAAGGGAGCCUGGACACAGGUGCUGCAUGGCUGUCGUCAGCUCGUGUCGUGAGAUGUUGGGUUAAGUCCCGCAACGAGCGCAACCCUUGUCGUUAAUUGCCAUCAUUUAGUUGGGCACUUUAACGAGACUGCCGGUGACAAACCGGAGGAAGGUGGGGAUGACGUCAAGUCCUCAUGGCCCUUAUGGGUAGGGCUUCACACGUCAUACAAUGGUCGGUACAAAGGGUUGUCAAGCCGCGAGGCGGAGCCAAUCCCAGAAAGCCGAUCGUAGUCCGGAUUGCAGGCUGCAACUCGCCUGCAUGAAGUCGGAAUCGCUAGUAAUCGUGGAUCAGCAUGUCACGGUGAAUACGUUCCCGGGUCUUGUACACACCGCCCGUCACACCAUGGGAGCGGGUUCCGCCAGAAGUAGGUAGCCUAACCGCAAGGGGGGCGCUUACCACGGCGGGGUUCGUGACUGGGGUGAAGUCGUAACAAGGUA
rnacentral:rRNA from 1 species